AUCUCACCCUGAACCCCCCUUUUCCCUCUAGAUCCAUCCCUGCAUCCCAAAGGGAUGCGCUGGCAGGCGGCGACUGCACCCGGAGCGCUGCAGGCCCCUUCCACCUCUUCAUCCCGGAUGCCGAGCCAGGAGGAGCUUUGCAGCAUGGUCCGGAUGUGAUCCUAGGGGCAAAGGCGGCGUCACCCCAUGGCACAGCCCCCCCAAAAGCCCUUGGGGACAGCAGGGGGACACCGGGCCCAUCCACCUCCAGGAGCUGAGCCCCCAGGAGCGAGCAGAAGCGCCGGGCGUUCUCCCAGGAAGCUGCUGUCUUGGAGUACAAAUAGCAGGAAUUCCGGAAGUGGAGCCAGCCUUUGGAGCAAGGGGGACAGCCUGC